rnacentral:rRNA from 1 species
GGCGGCGUGGCUAAGACAUGCAAGUCGAACGAAGUCUUCAAUUGGGUAACCGAGAGAGGACUUAGUGGCGAACGGGUGAGUAAUGCAUAGAUAACGUACCCCGGACACCGAGACAGCUGUGGGAAACCGCAGGUAAUACCGGAUGAUGUCUUUGGAUCGCAUGGUUCAAAGAUCAAAGGUUUCGGUCGGUCUGGGAGCGGUCUAUGUCGUAUCAGUUAGUUGGUGAGGUAAUGGCUCACCAAGACAUCGACGGGUAGCGGGACUGAGAGGUUGGCCCGCCACAUCGGGACUGAGACACUGCCCGGACACCUACGGGUGGCUGCAGUAACGAAUAUUCCGCAAUGGGCGAAGGCCUGACGCAGCGACGCCGCGUGUAGGACGAAGCUCCUCGGAGUGUAAACUACUGUUAGGGUGAAGAAAGGCCUGUUCGGCUGCUUGAUCGAUCCCGGAGGAAGCCACGGCUAACUUCGUGCCAGCAGCCGCGGUAAGACGGGAGAGGCAAGCGUUGUUCGGAAUCAUUGGGCUUAAAGCGCGCGUAGGCGGAAAGUUAAGUGCCUUGUGAAAUCCCUCAGCUCAACUGAGGAACUGCAGGGCAUACUGGCUUUCUUGAGGCAAGUAGGGGUGCAUGGAACUCUGGGUGGAGCGGUGAAAUGCGUAGAUAUCCAGAGGAACGCCAGCGGAGAAAUCGGUGUACUGGGCUUGUUCUGACGCUGAGGUGCGAAAGCGUGGGUAGCGAACGGGAUUAGAUACCCCGGUAGUCCACGCCGUAAACGAUGUUUACUAGAUCAUGGGAGUUUUGACGCUUUCGUGGUCGAAGCAAAAGUGCUAAGUAGACCGCCUGGGGAGUACGGUCGCAAGGCUAAAACUCAAAGGAAUUGACGGGGGAUCACACAAGCGGUGGAGCAUGUGGAUUAAUUCGAAACAACGCGAAGAACCUUACCUGGCCUUGGACAUGUACGGAUGCCUGCCUCGAAAACAGAGUCGGCUGCCUUAGGGUGGAACGUACACAGGUGCUGCAUGGCUGUCGUCAGCUCGUGUCGUGAGAUGUCGGGUUAAGUCCCUUAACGAGCGAAACCCUUAUCGUUAGUUGCCAGCGGGUAAUGCCGGGGACUCUAGCGAGACUGCCGUGGUUAACACGGAGGAAGGUGGGGAUGACGUCAAGUCCUCAUGGCCCUUAUGCCCAGGGCUACACACGUGCUACAAUGGUAGAUACAAACCGAUGCGAUGCCGUGAGGUGGAGCAAAUCGGAAAAAGCGCGCCCCAGUUCGGAUUGUAGGCUGCAACUCGCCUACAUGAAGUCGGAAUCGCUAGUAAUCGCGGAUCAGCAUGCCGCGGUGAGUAUGUUCCUGAGCCUUGUACACACCGCCCGUCAAGUCAUGGAAGCCGGGAGUACCUGAAGUCGGGUAGCUAACCUUCGGGAGGCGCCUGCCGAUGGU